GGAGCAAACAGGAUUAGAUACCCUGGUAGUCCACGCUGUAAACGAUGAGUACUAGGUGUCGGGGGUUACCCCCCUCGGUGCCGCAGCUAACGCAUUAAGUACUCCGCCUGGGAAGUACGCUCGCAAGGGUGAAACUCAAAGGAAUUGACGGGGACCCGCACAAGUAGCGGAGCAUGUGGUUUAAUUCGAAGCAACGCGAAG
rnacentral:rRNA from 1 species